CGGGUUAGUAACACGUGGAUAACCUACCUAUAAGACUGGGAUAACUUCGGGAAACCGGAGCUAAUACCGGAUAAUAUUAUGAACCGCAUGGUUCAAAAGUGAAAGACGGUCUUGCUGUCACUUAUAGAUGGAUCCGCGCUGCAUUAGCUAGUUGGUAAGGUAACGGCUUACCAAGGCAACGAUGCAUAGCCGACCUGAGAGGGUGAUCGGCCACACUGGAACUGAGACACGGUCCAG
rnacentral:rRNA from 1 species